GACUAACGCUGGCGGAAUGCCUCAUACAUGCAAGUCGAACGGCCCUUCGGGGCAGUGGCGGACGGGUGAGUAACACGUAGGUAACGUACCUUAUAGCUGGGGAUAACAGUGGGAAACCGCUGCUAAUACCGUAUAAGACCCGGGGUGAAAUUCCCUGUGUUUAAAGCUUCGGCGCUAUAAGAUCGGCCUGCGUCGGAUUAGCUAGUUGGUAGGGUAAUGGCCUACCAAGGCGACGAUCCGUAACUGGUCUGAGAGGAUGACCAGUCACAGUGGGACU
rnacentral:rRNA from 1 species